GACGAACGCUGGCGGCGUGCCUAAUACAUGCGAGUAGAACGCUGAAGAGAGGAGCUUGCUCUUCUUGGAUGAGUUGCGAACGGGUGAGUAACGCGUAGGUAACCUGCCUGGUAGCGGGGGAUAACUAUUGGAAACGAUAGCUAAUACCGCAUAAAAUGGAUUAUCGCAUGAUAAUCCAUUGAAAGGUGCAAAUGCAUCACUACCAGAUGGACCUGCGUUGUAUUAGCUAGUUGGUGGGGUAACGGCUCACCAAGGCGACGAUACAUAGCCGACCUGAGAGGGUGAUCGGCCACACUGGGACUGAGACACGGCCCAGACUCCUACGGGAGGCAGCAGUAGGGAAUCUUCGGCAAUGGACGGAAGUCUGACCGAGCAACGCCGCGUGAGUGAAGAAGGUUUUCGGAUCGUAAAGCUCUGUUGUAAGAGAAGAACGAGUGUGAGAGUGGAAAGUUCACACUGUGACGGUAGCUUACCAGAAAGGGACGGCUAACUACGUG
rnacentral:rRNA from 1 species